rnacentral:lncRNA from 1 species
AAUACCACACGUGUUAAGAGUUUCAAGGAAAAUGUGUUGGGAGUUCCUGGCAUAGAGAAUGUCACAAAGAUAUGUUUUCAAUAGUGGUGCUAUCCCUAGGGCAGAGAAGAUCCAGAGAAAGCCCAAGUGGCUGCUGGAACAAAGUCAGACACCGUGCCACCUGUCCACACUCCUUGGCUCUGCCAUCAUGCUGAAGAUUGGUUUAAAGGUCUGGCUUCCCUCCCCGCAAAAUUAAAAGAGCACAAACUGAGAAACUGAAUGUGGGAGACAGCAGUGGGUUAUGCUGUUCUCAGGGGUC